GAUGAACGCUGGCUACAGGCUUAACACAUGCAAGUCGAGGGGAAACGACGGGGAAGCUUGCUUCCCCGGGCGUCGACCGGCGCACGGGUGAGUAACGCGUAUCCAACCUGCCUCUGACUGAGGGAUAACCCGUCGAAAGUCGGCCUAAUACCUCAUGGCAUUGUCUGCGGGCAUCCAACGACGAUUAAAGAUCUCAUCGGUCAGGGAUGGGGAUGCGUCUGAUUAGCUUGUUGGCGGGGUAACGGCCCACCAAGGCUACGAUCAGUAGGGGUUCUGAGAGGAAGGUCCCCCACAUUGGAACUGAGACACGGUCCAAACUCCUACGGGAGGCAGCAGUGAGGAAUAUUGGUCAAUGGGCGGGAGCCUGAACCAGCCAAGUAGCGUGCAGGAUGACGGCCCUAUGGGUUGUAAACUGCUUUUAUGCGGGGAUAAAGUGAGGGACGUGUCCUUCAUUGCAGGUACCGCAUGAAUAAGGACCGGCUAAUUCCGUG
rnacentral:rRNA from 1 species